UCACCACAAGAAAUUGGUGUUUCAGCCAUUUGCCAAGCAUCAAUAUAUCAUGACAAGGAAAAUGAUGAUCCACUUGAGUGCAAUGACUGGCUACAUAGGAAUGAUGAGUACGUCAGGAAACAAAGACCACCAUUGACGCCUUUGGCGACUGAAGGUUCAAACAGCACCAUAAUAAAUACAGGUGUCAGCUCAAGCACUGCCAAACUGCUCAGCAAACGAAACUGGUACCUAAACAUGGAUGCGACAGCCAAGGCAAAAUUGCUAAAACAGAGGCGACAAUACAAAAAAGCAAGAGCAGCGGAUAACAACCGCCGAGCAUGCCCUACUGUUGCCCAGGAAGAAAAUGUUAACCAUAUACCUGUGAUCAGAUGUGUAGACACCAACGAUGAAAUCGAAUUUGACAUUGUUUUAUUCGAACCUACAAACCAUGAAUCUGAUGAUGAAGGUUGGUUUUACAAAUCACUUAACCAAUGCAGUUUUUUUCUUUAGUUGGCAUUUUGUUGCAUGCAUCCUGUUAAUUUCAAGCGCAUGUGAAAUAGAUCAUCUAAGUGAUAUAGAAGAGGAAUUUGUCAUAGAAGAAGAUGGUCCUAAAGAUUUUGAGACUAUGCAGUUUCUUGGUGAAGAAUGUGCAUUUGAGUCAUAUCGUGUCAACGACGAUUGCAAUGGCAAAACUGUAGCUGAUGACCCAUAUGAUUUUGUCUACCAUAACUUGCCGGAAGAGCACCAUGUUUUGAAAAAGGUUCCUGACUGCCGAUAUUGUGGAGCCAUGAGAUUUGAAGGCGAACCACCUGGAUUCUGUUGUAGAAUGGGAAAGAUAAAAGUGCAUAUCAAUGAUGUACCUGCUGAGUUGAAGAGGUUGUUCACGAGUCCGGUGGAUACUGAUGCAAAAUAUUUCAUAAAACACAUACGGUACUUCAACUCUCACUUCUCAUUCACAAGUCUCGGAGUUACACUGGACCGGAGAUACUGCACAGCGGCAGGUACCGGCAUAUAUACAUUUCGUGUACAUGGUGAAUGUAUCAUCGUCUGGACCAUUUACUGCCAGGGUCAAAAGAGCCACGUCACCUGCAACUCUACUUUUAUGACACAGAAGAAGCAGAUACAUUGUCUCAUAGAGUGAAAAGGUCACCUGAUCUUGAUAUAAAUAUUGUAAGAAAUGUGCUCAGGAUACUACAAGCAAAUAACCCUUAUGUACAAACCUUUAAUAGAGCUGGCUCUAUUCCGAAUCUUGGUGAUUAUGUAAUUGAGCUCAACACUAAUGUGACACCUGACCAACGAAGGUAUAAUGCCCCUACUACCUCACAAGUUGCUGCUAUCUGGACCGAUGGAGAUGACCCCCAAAGAUGUUUUGAUAGGAGUGUUAUUGUAUACCCUAAAGGAGAGAAGAUGCGCUAUAUCAAAGCUUAUCAUGGGUGUUAUGAUCCAUCAGCAUAUCCUUUAUUAAAUCCCAAAGGAGAAACUGGAUGGAAUAAGUUCAUGCCCUACAAUGACAGUCCCAAAGAGUCAACGUCUCCUACUAAUGGUGAGGAUUUACUGGAGCAACCAGUGGGUCCUACCGGUGGGGAGGAUUUAGUGCAACAACCAUUGGGUAUGGCAACAGUCCAGAUUCAUGCUACUUCAUCCUACUAAGAGACAUGGCUUAAGCAAUCAUCAUCCCUGAAGAACUCCGAGAUCUGCUUAAGCAAUUAAGAACUUAUUUGUAGUAUAUGAGACAUGGCUUUAUUAUUCCUUAUUUAUGAGUGUAUUCUGGAUUAUAUGAAUGCUCAAAAAACUAUAGAAAAAAUAUCGUUGUUUCGUUGAAAAUUGUUGUUUUUAAGUGCAUCCUUAGAAUAAAACCGU